CUGUGGUUGAUGUCCCUCACUGAGGGGACAUCUCUUGGGACUGAGCAGGAGAAUGUGCUGGGUGCUGCUGCUGCAGACUUCUCUGAGGCAGAAGAACUCCAACAAAACACCCUGAGGAUUUUGUGUAGACACAUUUUCUGCCUGUUGCAAAGUGGUAACAGUUAAAGUGGUUUAUUUCAUGUACAUUAAAAUAAUCUUUAAAAUCCC